GGGGCGGCUGCGUCGGGAAGCGGCUUCCAGAGCCUGAGCAGCUCAGUUUCAAAUGGGCGCCCGUGCGAGGUGAGCUGUACCCCACUGUCCUCCUGCCACUACCGUGUCUCCUGGACCCGAAGUUUCCACCAUCUGUGAGGUUUUCCACACUUCGCCAGAGUGGAGUCAUUCCCCUUUGCUCAGUCCUCGUUUGCCAGAUGGGAGGAGGUUAAAUGCCCUAGCUAAAACUACGGAAAGCCCUUACAAGAACAUAAAUGUGGGCCAGAUAAGCCUGUGUAAAUCAUGGACAGGCAUGAACUGCCGAUGAAAGAGCCAGUACAUUUGUUUGCCUUUAUACCAGUAAUAAGUGUCAUGUAAUAUUCAGGUUCAUCUCAAUCUCCUAGUUACCAUGGGUCAGGGCGUGCAGCUGGAUGAUGAGAAAUUUUUGGUGCAUUAGUGCCAAAUGUAUUUUAAAAGAGACUACCUCACUGUCAGGCUAAACUUGUCAUGGGCAUUAGUGGUUUGCUGGUGCCUUCCAUAUCCUGGCAAGACUAUCUCAACAACUUAUCUCUUAAAGAGACUGUACUUGGAGUCUGCCAGGGAGAUUGAACUGCUUGGUGAGAUAAAUAUGGAAAUGCAUAUUUUGAGGAUUCAGGUUUUGGGUUUUUUGAGGCCUCGACUAACAAUCCUGUCAGUACUUGAACAGGUUCAUAUGUGUGUGUUGCCAGAGGCAAGUACCCACGUGGCACUUAGGGCAGUUUAAGUCAGCGAUGACCAAAUGGUAAAUUUAAAAUAAAUUUAUGUAGAUCUUGCCUGAGAUCUACAUAUGUAAUAUGUAUGCACUAGUUUCAGUGGGUUCACUUGCAAUUUAAGCAUGUUAAUACAUAUUUUGGACUCUGUAGUUUGCAAAUUUUUGUUGUUGAAGUUCAUGGAUUAGAUACUUGGGCUAUUUUAGCAAAUAGCCAUUAUUGCAGUUAAGCUACAUUACGGGAAAUCAGAGAAAGUUCACUGUUACACAUAAUGAACGAAUUCUGGCUUUCUACUUUGUCUCAUUUUUCCAUUUUGGUUUGAUUUUUAUCUUCAUGCUUGGAAUUCCUUCUCAGUCCUUUUGCAGAAGGCAAUCACCCUUUCUCCAUGCCCUCGUGAACACUUACCUUCUCAGUGAGGCCCUGGCACUAGUCUAAAUUUAAGGUUAGAUGUGUUGUAAAAACACAGAGUAGGAUAGAGUCUUUGUUUAAGUUCUUGAGUUUUAUCUGUCUGUUUAGACUGUGCCUCUGGUUAAAAACCUUUUGUAUUAUGUAAUGAAACCUACACAGAAUUUAGUAUUUAAAAAAUGCUAAUAGAUCAUAUGUGUGCAUGUAUACACACACACACUAUAUAUAUAGUCUGUGUAUCUGUACCAUUUGCUGAAUUGACUGCCUCAGGAGAAGGGUGUUGUAGGUGUCUAGGCUUAUUUUAAACUGGAAAUGUAACUAAAAUUGAUGAUGUGACAAAAGGUGAUUGCCUAAUCAGAAGAGACUUCUCAAUAAAAUGUUACCAUGUGAAGUAACUAAAUGUUACGAUACAGUGCUGUAAGAUGCAGAGGAAUGCAGAAGGCGGCUUGUAAGAGACUAGCGUUGUGUUUCUGGCUCUGGUCACGGUUACAAAACGUAAAUCAGCCCCAGGACAAAGGUAAUUUGCUGAUAGUAUUACAGAGGCUGAUUUCCAUUUCCCUGUGGCUGCAUUGCUGAGCCUCUUCAGUUAGGAAUUUGCAAGCCAACCAGCUCGUAGGUGUUACAAAAAAAGAAAAAAAACACCUGCUGGAUUCCUUUGCAUCUGUGCCUUUGUCUUUUCAGAAAGCUCCUUACAGCUUAUGUAAGGAAAUCCUAGCAACGCUAUUAGACAAAGCAAUCAGAGCAGUAGGGUAAAGUCAGGCAUGCUUUAUUUCUACAGGGCUUAUUCUGUUUACUAUGUCUAAUCUAAGACUGUGGAGUGAGAUGCAGUACAGUAGGAGGGAGGGAAGGAAGAAGUUGAGUGAAGGAGACCUUUCUCUGGGAUGGAGACUUGGGCACAGGUGAUCCUCCAGCAGUUUGCUGGCCUUCUGCUUUAUUUUUAGCAGCUGGCAUCAGAUGCCAGCAUAGAAGGAGAUUAAAGAAGGGGUCAGAUGUUUCCUGAGUUCUGUGCUCAGGAGUC